CCUACGGGAGGCUGCAGUGAGGAAUAUUGGUCAAUGGGCGCAAGCCUGAACCAGCCAAGUAGCGUGAAGGAUGACUGUCCUACGGGUUGUAAACUUCUUUUAUAAAGGAAUACAGUGAGGCACGUGUGCCUUUUUGUAUGUACUUUAUGAAUAAGGAUCGGCUAACUCCGUGCCAGCAGCCGCGGUAAUACGGAGGAUCCGAGCGUUAUCCGGAUUUAUUGGGUUUAAAGGGUGCGUAGAGGGGUUGUUAAGUCAUGUGUGAAAGUUUGUGGCUCAACCGUAAAAUUGCAAUUGAUACUGGCAGCCUUGAGUACAGUAGAGGUAGGCGGAAUUCGUGGUGUAGCGGUGAAAUGCUUAGAUAUCACGAAGAACUCCGAUUGCGAAGGCAGCCUACUAAGCUGCCACUGACAUUGAUGCUCGAAAGUGUGGGGAUCAAACAGGAUUAGAUACCCUAGUAGUC
rnacentral:rRNA from 1 species